AUUGAACGCUGGCGGCAUGCUUUACACAUGCAAGUCGAACGGCAGCACGGGGGCAACCCUGGUGGCGAGUGGCGAACGGGUGAGUAAUAUAUCGGAACGUACCCGGAAAUGGGGGAUAACGCAGCGAAAGUUGCGCUAAUACCGCAUAUGCCCUGAGGGGGAAAGCGGGGGAUCCGCAAGGACCUCGCGUUUUCGGAGCGGCCGAUAUCGGAUUAGCUAGUAGGUGGGGUAAAGGCCUACCUAGGCGACGAUCCGUAGCUGGUCUGAGAGGACGACCAGCCACACUGGAACUGAGACACGGUCCAGACUCCUACGGGAGGCAGCAGUGGGGAAUAUUGGACAAUGGGCGAAAGCCUGAUCCAGCCAUGCCGCGUGUGUGAAGAAGGCCUUAGGGUUGUAAAGCACUUUAAGCGAGGAGGAAGGUUCGUCACCUAAUACGUGGCGGAAUUGACGUUACUCGCAGAAUAAGCACCGGCUAACUCUGUGCCAGCAGCCGCGGUAAAGUAC
rnacentral:rRNA from 1 species